UUUUCCUCUCACGUUCGCUCUAAUUUUUCUUCUUCUGUUCUGUUGUUCCCCGGAUACCUGACCGACAGGAUUAAAAAUGACUUAAAUUUCAAUCAGCUGUGGCAGGAGAGAAAGAAAGAGGGAUGAAAAAAAGAGGAGUUUGUCCUCUGAAGAGAUUCAGCGGCACACAGCUGGUGAGAACGAGGGAGUGUUAGACGGAGAGAGAGAGAGAUCAAGAGAGGGAGGGAAGAGGACUGGAGUCCGAAAGAGAGAGAAAGAGGGUCUUGUUUCGCUUUUGAGGAAGCCAGGAGUCGGAUCGCCGUUUCCUGCAGGACUACUCGACUGGAAAUGCUGGAAAAGCAGUCAUCCUUCCUUUCCAUCAUCCCGUUUUUCUCUGUGCUUGAGACGUUGUUUUGCUGUGAGACACAAAGGCCUCAGA